rnacentral:rRNA from 1 species
UGAGGAAUAUUGGGCAAUGCCCGCAAGGGUGACCCAGCAACGCCGCGUGGAGGAUGAAUGUCGUAAGAUUGUAAACUCCUGUUAGAGGGGAAGAAUAGUACCGGUUGGACCGGUAUAUGACUGUACCCUCAGAGAAAGCCCCGGCUAACUACGUGCCAGCAGCCGCGGUAAUACGUAGGGGGCAAGCGUUGUCCGGAUUUACUGGGUGUAAAGGGCGCGCAGGCGGGAUAAAAAGUCAGUGGUGAAAUCCUACAGCUUAACUGUAGAACUUCCUUUGAUACUUUUGUUCUUGAGUUCGGGAGAGAGAGACGGAAUUCCAGGUGUAGUGGUGAAAUACGUAGAUAUCUGGAAGAACACCAGUUGCGAAGGCGGUCUCUUGGUCCGACACUGACGCUGAGGCGCGAAAGCGUGGGGAGCAAAC